UAAAAACGUAGCUCAGUGGGUACAGCAUGAGACUCUUAAUCUCCAGGUCGUGGGCUUGAGACCCACAUUGGGCAAAA